UACGUAGGGUGCAAGCGUUGUCCGGAAUUAUUGGGCGUAAAGAGCUCGUAGGCGGUUUGUCGCGUCGAAUGUGAAAACCCGGGGCUCAACCCCGGGCCUGCAUUCGAUACGGGCAGACUAGAGUUCGGUAGGGGGAGUCUGGAAUUCCUGGUGUAGCGGUGAAAUGCGCAGAUAUCAGGAGGAACACCGGGUGGCGAAGGCGGGACUCUGGGCCGAUACUGACGCUGAGGAGCGAAAGCGUGGGGAGCAAACAGG
rnacentral:rRNA from 1 species